rnacentral:lncRNA from 1 species
CCUAGACCUGUGAAAUGUCAAAGGGUGUAGGCGGAUCGCUGCCCUAAAAGAGUUCCAGACUGUAAAGUUGUUAUUGAAAGUUCACUUGAAAUGCUUUGGUAUUGUAUUUGUUUGAAAUGUUAAGAUGUCAUUUCUACAGUGAAAGCUGAGUUGCUGAGAAUCCCUUGUUCGGAAAGUAACAGUAUGCUGGAUCAUUGUUUCAGAGUCUAUGUUGAUUCAGUUGGUGUAGUAUGCAAUAUAAAUGGUUACUUACCUUGAGUUCAAGCUACAGAGCAUGUAUUCAAAAGAAACGCUUAGAAUAUGUAAAAUAUUUGUAUUUUGUUUUAAAAGAAGGGGGAUGUAAUAUUCAUAUGUGUAAACAUACUGAAUUAUAAUUGGAUGCAUUUUACCGCUGUAUCAUACUGUGCUAUGAUUGGUUAAGACCACCCAGAUGGUUAGGUCAUGGUCAAUUGAUCAUGGUUGGAGAUAAGUGAACAUGCAAGUUGUAGCAAGCUAAUAAAGAGCUACGUUAAGAAAUAUCCUGCAGUACUGCAUUUUAUUAUUUUGUACAAAGCGUGCAAAACAAGACAGGGCGUGGAUCAGAAGACCAGUAUCUGGUGUGACCACCAUUUGCCAUGCAGUGUGACACAUCUCCUUCUCAGAGUUGAUCAGGCUGUUGUUUGUGGCCUGUGGAAUGUUGUCCCUCUCCUCUUCAAUUGCUGUGCGAAGUUGCUGGAUAUUUGCGGUAACUAGAACAUGCUGUCGUACGUUGAUCCAGAGCAUUCCAAACGUGCUCAAUGGGUGACAUGUCUGUAAACAUCCAGAGGGCCUCUGUAUUGCCCAACCUCUCCCCCCUCUAUUUACAGGAAAUGGUGUGGUCCUGCCCCCAAACCAGGCGCAAACGGUACUUGCUCGCAGUGAAUUGCAAGUGAGGAGUGCAGGUGGAGCAUCAUGUCUCAGCUUCCUGUCUCCUGGCUUCCAAAAACGAAAAGAAAGACAGGAGAGAGAAAAGAAAGGGUGACAGUAUGUCUCAGGAAGGCCCAACAAAUGCAGCCACAGGCUCAGCAGCCCUGUCUCUCCAUCCCCAUACCACUGAACAAUCCCUGUCUCCACAUCCCCAUACCCCUGAACCAGCCCUACUCCCAAGUGAAGAAGGAGUUGAGCAGCAUUGUGUUGAAUGACAAGUCAGUUGGCUUAAUUGCAGGUACUGCAAUGCAUUGAGGACAGGAAUUCAAUUCCCCAGUCAGGAAAAAUCUCACUAGACAGAGCGGCAACCAAUAUCAGAGCCUUAAGGAAGAGAUGCAGGCUCUUAGAGAUGGAUGGGAGUCUCUCCUGUCUGAGGAAACACUGAUUACUACGCAAAUGGAUGUUGCACCUCAAUUUAGCAAGGAACACAGCCACCAGAGGAAAAGGAAGAGAUUCCAUGAUGAGACCUCUCAAGAGGAGACAGCUCAGGACAGUGCAGCAACAGUGUUGCGGAACAGUGUUUUUUACUGCUAUGGACAACAUCAUAAGUGACUUGAACACUAGGCUCCACACCACUGCAAAAAUUGUAGUAUAAUUUUCUGCUGUUCUGAAAGUUGGGCAGAUUAGUGAGGAUAAAGUCCCUUCUGUGUGUCAACCACUGAUCAUGAAGUAUUCCAGAGAUCUUACACCUGAGUUUCAAAAGGAAGUAAGACACCUGAACACUGUAUAUGCUGCCACUUUUCCCCCUAACUUGUCCCCUCUUGGUCUCCUGAAGGCAAUUUGUAAGAUGCAGCUGCACUGCUCCAAAAAAAUAAAGGGAACACUUAAACAACACAAUGUAACUCCAAGUCAAUCACACUUCUGUGAAAUCAAACUAUCCACUUAGGAAGCAACACUGAUUGACAAUCCAUUUCACAUGCUGUUGUGCAAAUGGAAUAGACAACAGGUGGAAAUUAUAGGCAAUUAGCAAGACACUCCCAAUAAAGGAGUGG